CACGUAGGGCGCAAGCGUUGUCCGGAAUUAUUGGGCGUAAAGAGCUCGUAGGCGGUCCGUCACGUCCGCUGUGAAAACCCAGGGCUCAACCCUGGGCUUGCAGUGGAUACGGGCAGACUAGAGGUAGGUAGGGGAGAAUGGAAUUCCCGGUGUAGCGGUGAAAUGCGCAGAUAUCGGGAGGAACACCGGUGGCGAAGGCGGUUCUCUGGGCCUUACAUGACGCUGAGGAGAGAAAGCGUGGGGAGAGAACAGG
rnacentral:rRNA from 1 species